CAACCUCCCCAGGCUGGCUGGUCCCCAGGCUGGGUUGGGCGAGUAUCUCUUCGAAAGGCUCACCCUCAAGCACGACUAGGAGC
rnacentral:pre_miRNA from 1 species